UCAGGUAGGACUACCCGCUGAACUUAAGCAUAUCAAUAAGCGGAGGAAAAGAAACUAACAAGGAUUCCCCUAGUAACUGCGAGUGAAGCGGGAAAAGCUCAAAUUUAAAAUCUGGCAGUCUUUGGCUGUCCGAGUUGUAAUCUAGAGAAGUGUUGCCCACACUGGGACCGGUACAAGUCUUCUGGGAAUGAAGCGUCAUAGAAGGGUGGAGAAUCCCGUCUUUGACAUGGACUCCCAAGUGGUAUUUGGUGGCGGGCUCUC
rnacentral:rRNA from 1 species